UACUACGUAUCGGCUCAACUCUCUGACUAGCCGGUGUUACCCUGACUCUGUGCCGGGUAUGAGGAUGCCCUCCGUCGUCAUCCCUUAGAAGGUGUUACCCGCGUUCGGACUACCUCGUUGCGGCGCACACACUACUUCCCAAAGCCGAGCAUUUUGUGACAAUAUUCUCUUCUUGCCGUGACUCUCAUUGACAAGUCACACUGCCAUAGAAUGGUCUUUCCUUGCCGAUUUAUGCACGGUCGUCGGCGCCAUUAUGCAUACAAGGUUCGCAAUAGGCCUAAAUAACCCGCAUUUCGCUCGCGUCUGCCAAUAAAUUCAGACUUCACUUUCGGGAGUCGAGUUGACUCCUUACCGAAACCUUUGACCUACUGAACUCACGUCAUCUCCUUUCACCUUGAGGUACACAUCGCCACUUUACGCAUCUAUAUACCUUCUUGUGGUCACCGCUUCCGCCGAAAGACCUGACAUUGACUGCAACUCCGAGCUUUCACACCCAUCGUUUGUCCUAAUCUAUGGGACCAUCAGGUGUGGCAUUUGCUACUCACGAUCUACAAGCUCCCAAAGGCGGGAACUCACAGCGUCGAUUGCGUAUUCGUGAGGCG
rnacentral:rRNA from 1 species